GAUGAACGCUGGCGGCGUGCCUAAUACAUGCAAGUCGAGCGAACAGACGAGGAGCUUGCUCCUCUGACGUUAGCGGCGGACGGGUGAGUAACACGUGGAUAACCUACCUAUAAGACUGGGAUAACUUCGGGAAACCGGAGCUAAUACCGGAUAAUAUAUUGAACCGCAUGGUUCAAUAGUGAAAGACGGUUUUGCUGUCACUUAUAGAUGGAUCCGCGCCGCAUUAGCUAGUUGGUAAGGUAACGGCUUACCAAGGCGACGAUGCGUAGCCGACCUGAGAGGGGGACCGGCAACCUUGAAACGGAAACCCGUCCCAGACCCCAAGGGGAGGCAGAGGUAGGGAACCUUCCGAAAGGGGCGAAAGCCUGACGGGGCAACGCCGCGUGGGUGAGGAAGUUCUUCGGACCGUAAAACUCUUUUAUUGGGGAAGAACAAAGGUGUAAGUAACUAUGCAGGUCUUGACGGUACCAAACCGAAAGGCCACGGCUACCUACGU
rnacentral:rRNA from 1 species